GACGGAGGAGGCAAGCGUUAUCCGGAAUUAUUGGGCGUAAAGGGUACGUAGGCGGAUGGUAAAGUCUGGGGUCAAAUGCCACAGCUCAACUGUGGGAAGGCCCUGGAAACUGACCGGCUAGAGUGAGGUAGGGGUUGUGGGAAUUCCCGGUGUAGCGGUGAAAUGCGUAGAGAUCGGGAAGAACACCUGAGGCGGAAGCGGCCAACUGGUCCUCAACUGACGCUGAGGUACGAAAGCUAGGGGAGAAAACAGG
rnacentral:rRNA from 1 species